rnacentral:misc_RNA from 1 species
GGGAACUAUAGUUACUGGGGUCGUAGAGCUUUUGAGCGACAUUUCAAGGAAUGGCGUCAUCAGCAUGGAAUGCGUUGCCUUGGUAUUCCAAAUACAAAGAACUUUAACGAAAUCACAUCAAUUGAGGAGGCAAAAGACUUGUGGAAAAGAAUACAAGAACGACAAGGAGUUAACAAGUGGCGACCAGACCUGGAAGAAGAAUACGAAGAUAAGGAGGGUAACAUUUACAAUAAG